AGGACGAACGCUGGCGGCGUGCUUAACACAUGCAAGUCGAGCGGAAAGGCCCUUCGGGGUACUCGAGCGGCGAACGGGUGAGUAACACGUGAGUAAUCUGCCCCUAGCUCUGGGAUAGCUCCGGGAAACCGGGAUUAAUACCAGAUACGACCACUUUAGACAUCUUCUGUGGUGGAAAGAACUUCGGCUAGGGAUGAACUCGCGGCCUAUCAGCUUGUUGGUGAGGUAACGGCUCACCAAGGCGACGACGGGUAGCCGGCCUGAGAGGGCGACCGGCCACACUGGGACUGAGACACGGCCCAGACUCCUACGGGAGGCAGCAGUGGGGAAUAUUGCGCAAUGGGCGAAAGCCUGACGCAGCGACGCCGCGUGGGGGAUGAAGGCCUUCGGGUUGUAAACCCUUUCAGCAGGACGAAGCGAAAGUGACGGUACCUGCAGAAGAAGCGCCGGCUAACUACGUGCCAGCAGCCGC
rnacentral:rRNA from 1 species